UCCCGGAUAGCUCAGCGGUAGAGCGGGCGGCUGUUAACCGCUAGGUCCUAGGUUCGAAUCCUAGUCCGGGAGCCA
rnacentral:tRNA from 1 species